UGCGUAGGCGGCUAUGUAAGUCAGGAGUGAAAGUUUGCGGCUCAACCGUAAAAUUGCUUUUGAUACUGCAUGGCUAGAAUUAGGAUGAGGUCAGCGGAAUGUGGCAUGUAGCGGUGAAAUGCAUAGAUAUGCCAUAGAACACCAAUUGCGAAGGCAGCUGGCUAGACCUGGAUUGACGCUGAGGCACGAAAGCGUGGGGAGCGAACAGGAUUAGAUACCCUGGUAGUCCACGCCCUAAACGAUGCUUACUCGACGUAUGGCCCUAGAGGUCGUGCGUCCAAGGGAAACCGUUAAGUAAGCCACCUGGGGAGUACGACCGCAAGGUUGAA
rnacentral:rRNA from 1 species